rnacentral:rRNA from 1 species
ACUGGGAUUAGAUACCCCACUAUGCCCAAUCGUAAACAUAAAUUUUAUUCGCCAGAGAAUAACGAGCUAAAGCUUAAAACUCAAAGGACUUGGCGGCAUUCCACACCACCCUAGAGGAGCCUGUCAUGUAAUCGAUAACCCACGAUAAACCUCACCGCUUUUUGCCCAAUCAGCCUAUAUACCGCCGUCGCCAGCCCAUCUUGAAAAGAGACAAAAUGGGCUUAAUUGUAUUAUCACACUAAUACGACAGGUCAAGGUGUAGCUUAUAAGGCGGGAAAUGAUGGACUACAUUGCUUACGUAAGCAAAACCAAAAUUAUACUGAAAUCACGCAAUUUAAGGUGAAUUUAACAGUAAGACGAGCAAGAAAGCCCAUCUAAAACUUCUGCCCUGGAAAC